UGACUGUGCCAUAUGUUCCUACUUGCAGUCUGCUCCCUGUAAAUGCUUCUCGAGCUGUAGGCCUGGCUUAAACGCAUGGGGUUACAUCAUCUGCAUCUUUCUACAUGACAGAGGAAAUGACAGCUUGACUUGGAGUCCCAAAUACCCAUGCGAUUCGGGCAGAGAUAGAGAGAGACCGAUGAGGACGACUGGGCAGAAAGUGGUUCAGAUUCUGACAGAGUCUGAGGAUCAUCGCCCACCCCUGGGAAUUGGCAGACAUAUUAGUGACCCAUCAGACAAUAGGGCAACUUUUCUUAAAGAUGCGUGCCAACCACAUGCAUUCCAGAGAGACCCAAGUUAUGAACCCCUCCGCUGCAGAAGAGCCAGCUUUGGCAAGGCAAAGAAAACAGUGCCAG